GGCGACAGCGUGUGGGGGUCACAAAGAAGGUCAAACAAACUUUUUGAUUUUUUUUUCUUAACCUGUUCAAGGCAACAAACACACAAAAAAAACCACCAGCUCAGCUAGGACAAGCUCGCGUCACUACACAAACAAAAGUCAAAAAGUUUGUAAUGGGAGCUGGUUUUGAUUUGUUGGGCUUUAAAUCUACAUCAGUGCACUGAUCUGGAUCAAACCUAAGACUGUAAGACAAGUCGAGUGAUCUGCAAGGGGGAAAAUCGCGUUGAUGGCUGGCUGGGAGCGGCGCUGGGUUAAGAAAGCUGUUUGUAGAUUUCACUGUGUAUUGUAGAGUAGGAAGACUGCAUGAGCACGAGGACGCCGCCAUUUCUUCAGUGCUAGCUGUGUGUGUGCAAAGCUACACUGUCAUAUGAUGCUGUUCUACAUUCUACAUCAAAGAUCUAAACACCAUGGAAUUCAAAUUUCAAAUCUCUGUGUGGGCUUGUGGAGACACCCUGUCUCACAAGAAUUUAACAGAAAGAAUUGGACUGGUGGUUCGAAUGUGCCUUUAAUUUCAAGAUUCAGAGAACAGAAUUGAUCAGAAUCACAUUCUCAGUCUCAGUGGUUAAAUCUCUGGGUUAAGGAUCAGAUGCUGGGGAUUCAUACCCCACCACUGCCAAGCUGCCACUGUUGGGCCCUGGACCAUGGCCUAUAACCCCAUCUGUUCCAGGGGUGCCGUAUCAUGGCUGACGCUGUGCUCUCGUAAGAGCCCCCUUCUUAUGUUUCAGAAAACUGGAUUACUAUUUUUAUCCAUCAUUGCCUCUUAACAUUCUGCUUUUGUAUGUAGAAUUGUAAUCUGGGCAUUUACCAGAGGAAAAGGAUUAUAACGAAGAGGAAAGCCUUUAUUUGUGACAUAUACAGCACAGUGAAAUUCUUUUCUAUCCAUCAAGGUGGGUGACAGUGGCGUUCAGGUGGGAAUGGGGUAGGUGUUUU